rnacentral:lncRNA from 1 species
UCACAUAGGCUGGGCUGAGGCCAGAGAUCCCGGGGUGAGCACCUGGUGCUCCUGACACACAGCAAGCUCUCACCAGUGUGUUAUUUCCCCACAUCGACCCGAGGCCUGUUCCCCAGGGUCUGAAGGGCAAGUUUCCUUGUGAUCACUCCAGGUGGGGAGUGUGCACCAUCCCUGUGAUCAAUGGAAAGCACUUGUGUUAAUUUAUAAACCUGGGCACAGAGCAGCAGGAGACAUGGAGCGGUUCUGUGUAAAGUCCACAAGUGAUUCUGAAUAUUCGUUUAUUUAAUCUUUUCUCAAUUUAUUUCUACCACGUAUACCUCUAAAUAUGUGUCCUUUCUUAAAUUUAUACAGUGCUAACAGAUGUUUUAAAAUUUAUGUUUCUGAGCAUUUACUGAAUCAAGCAGCCAUGUGCCCCCCGCCCAGUCUACUGACCUGAGCGCAGGUCUACCGUGUUGAGCAGCACACUCUCUGAGCCUCAGAUCCCCUGUUUAGAGAUGGUGAACUCUCCACUCAGAGGUGAGAACACUCUGCAGAAACGCUCUAGCUACGUUCAUUAGUUUUGGAAAACCACAGAAGAAAUGCCCCUGAGAGCCCAGGGGAGAGAGAAAUGGACGACGAAGCUAGAAGGAAAUUCCACAUCUCUGAGAUGAAGAGAAGACACUAAGGCACAAAUAAAUACAUAAAUAAGCGUUAUGAUCCCUAAGAUUGGAAAUGAUGUGAAGAGUAAACACAUCAGAACCAUUAAAGAGAUGUGCCAGAUGCAAAUAAGAAAGAAGCCCCAACCUUGGCAGAAGAGGAAGUUCAAGGAAACGUGGGCUCCGGCUCUGAGCCCGGGAACGCAGGAUCACAGGGCGGCAGCUGAACCUGUGCAGGAGGCGAGCUCAGCGCGGUCGUGAAGGCACCUUCGCCUGCUGUCCCGACUCCUGUCCUAUGACAAGAGCUGCUCUGACUAACGCACACACAGGCCUGCAGCCGUCACACACCACCCCGCGUCUCAGUGGCUUAAAACCACUGUGCGUUUCUCACCCGCGCCUCACGUCCCUCCUGGACUGACAGCGGUGCUCCGCUCGGCACGGGCUCCAGGACGCAGGCUGCUGCGGCCAGUCACCACGCCACUGGGAGGGGGGUGCGGAGGAGCUGGACAAGGAAGUCAGAAGUGCCUCGGGCCGCCUCGAGUCAGCAACCCCAUCGUCCCAGGCGGUGAGACCAACUCCAAGACCCGGGCUCGCCCUGCACUGUGAGGCCCAGAGGAGGGGGCCUCAGGGGCAGACAGGGUCUGGGAGGGCUCCCCAGGGGUCUCAGGGGAGGACCGCCUUGCAGGUAAAGGGGAGCUGGGGGAAGGCCCAGCCUCCGACGUUUCUGGAGGUGCGGAGGUCUCAGUGCCCCGCAGGGCUCAGCCUGUGCCUUGGGUUCCUGCUUCUCCGCUGCUGGUGUGGAUUCUCCCCAGCAGCACCGAGGGGGGACCGCAGGGUCGUGGGGUCGAGGGGGGUGACAGGACGGACCUGUCACCACGGGAGUGCGCUCGCCUCCUCUGGACCCAGGACCGUGAGGCGGUUGUGACCCCAUCUCAGGCCUUCCUUCUGGGAGACGUCCCGCCAGUCUCUCCUUCUGAUUCCAGAGCUUUGCGUGUCAUUAGGCAGCAUCCCUGGUUUCCAGAUCGAGUGGAGAAGCACAGGCUGUCUGACACCUCACGAAGUCUGUGGAUGACUCACCAGCUUCGGAGUUCACAGAGCAGGUUAAAAUUUCAAAUUCCCUCAGAGCCUCCAGACGUUCUGGAGCUCAGUAUGUUUUAUCUUCAAUCAACGCACAAACCCCGCAUCUUCACGCGGAGACACUCAGGCCUCAGGCUUCCAACUACGAAAGCACCACCUUGAGGAGGACGUCACGGUGGACCCGGAGAGGCGCUGGCCCGUGGCUGGGCUGUGGGGAGACUGGUGGGAAUCCACGGGACAAGGGGCGGGAUGGCCAAGCUCUGCCCGGGACAGUCCGGGUGGCCUUAGUCCGCGGGUCUCCAGCUCUGUCCAGGACUGUCCGGGUGGCCUCAGUCCCGUGGGUCUCAUGCUCUGGCUGAGGUCGGCGGGUCUGGAAGCCGCAGGUCCAGGACCGGAAGUCAGGAGGAAAGGCCACAGGCCACGUCCCCGCCUCUCCUCCCGUCAGGGUCUCUGUUUGGGGCAGCCGGGGCCUCGGGACAGUGACCUAGACUCCCUGUAGGACACCGGGAGUGGCCUCCAGCAUCCCCCUCUUCUUCCAGGAGCCCCCAGCUUUCAUCAGGAAUCCGCCAUCCCCCCAUCCCACCCAGACCAGUGAUCCUGGAUGGGCUCCCUUGGCUCCAGGGGGCGCUGUGAUCUCGUCAGUUCAAGCGAAGGUGGGCCCUGGCUGCAGUGAUUGGUUCAGGGAUGUCACAUGACCUGGGUGUGUCCAAUCAGAGUGAAGGUCUGGACUUGCCUGCCAGCCAACAGGAAAGGUUCUUACACUAUCCACUGGCUGUGUCCUGACUGCCGGGAUUGGUUCAGGGACGUCAUAUGACCUCCGCCUGUCCAAUCAGAGUGAGUGUCAGGAGCAGCCAGGCUAACAGGAAAGCCUUGGCCGUGAGAGGAGGUGAGGACGGCGCUCCGCCACCAUCUUGUCGCCGUCGAGGGGCCUAGAGGUGUCAGAUGAGAGAGAUGGGGUCCCGUUCAUGAAGCCAGACGGCCGAGGUGCAAACCAGAGUCCGUGACGUCGUGGAGCCCUGGAUCUGGGGUCCCGAGGGGCCUGCCCACCGCUGCCCCGGCCCGCGGAGCGGACGCAGCCGUCUCUCAGCCGGUGGGCGGCCGAGGGCCUGUCGUCGCCGCGAGCUACGCCUGGUCGGAGGGCGGCUUGGCCUCGAGAGCAGCCCCGCCGAGGCCCGGCCCCAGAAGACAGGGCAGGGCGGUGAGGCGGGCGGUGGGUACGGACGUCGCGGCGGCUCCUGCGGUCCCCGCGACCCAGGACGGCCCGAGGCCGGCGUGUCCGAGUCUCCGCCGGCCCACCUCUCUGCCCUCGGCCCACGGCGGCAGCGUGUGACGGGGCCGCUCCCGGACAGUCCCGGGGAGCUGGUGGGAGGACCACCCGACGCCGCAGGAAGUGGAUCCGGUCAGCAAGACGCGUGACACGGCCAAAAACAAGGAAAAACAACUGAAGUUACAUGGGGAUCUGGAAUUAGAACAGCCUGCCUCAAAAUUGAACAGAAGGUGUUUUCAGAUCGUCCCCAAGCCAGCUGCAGCUCUCAGAGAACAGAGAGAUGGGGACAGAGGGAAGCUAAGGAAAUGUUCGAGCAGCAGUAAUAUGGCCCUCACCUACAAUAAAGAACGGGAGGCCUGGGGAUUCAUUUCCGGGAGAAAAUGCUUCAUGCAGAUGGCUAGGCAUCUCGUGCUGAAGAAUCUGUAAAUUAAGGGAAACUUUGGAAUUAAAAUAAACACUGAUUUGAUCUGUUCCCUUCAUAUUCCCCAAUCUUUUCCUGCCCUUUUCUCAGGUAGAGACAAUUGAUCAAGUCUAGAAUGUACUUAAGGGUAUAGAAUCCUUGACUAGAAAUUAAUAAUCAUUGGGGAAUGGGGUACAGAGAGGUGAUAGGGAUGGGGAGGAUUUCCCAGCUGUAUGCCAAUGAGAUGGCUCCAACUGGGAUAAUAUUCAGCAGGGCGUUGGACCAUCAGAAUAGAACAUGGACACUCAGACACCUCUCAUGAACCCAGCACAAACACAGCAGUGCGUCCAGCUGAGUAUCUGUCCAGGGGUCAUAAUCCCAGGCCACAUUGCUUGUCCCGCCACCCCAAGGAGGUGGGUCAGGAGAUGAGGUACCUGAAGGAGCCAAGACCAAGCCCCUCUUCUGCCUACAUGACUGGACACUCAGUUUGAGAGAGGACUGUGUGGUGGGACAGCAGCCCAAGUAUGUGUUCUGUCUGUCUGUCUGUGCAGGAGCCUCAGAGACCUCAAGCAGCCUCAGGCUGCAAAGCCAGCUCCUGUCCUCCUCAGACUGGGGUUGACUCCAGGACUAGCUGAUGCUUACAGCCACAGAAAGAGACGUAGUCCCCAAGAGCUAACAGUGUAAUUUGAGCGAAUUAAUUUUUAAUAGUCAAUUGAUGCUUAUUGUAGAAGAUGAUUAGUUCUCACUGGUCCCACUAUGUGUCUCACUGGUCCAAUGUGAGAUUGUGGGAAGAAUAUCAUUUAGUUGCAUCCAAUAUGAGUUUCCUGAAGACUUUAUGGCUAUUUUUCAAGUUAUCGUCUGGGGAUAAAUUUAUGGCAUUGUGCACUGGGCCCUGGAUGUACUGGGCUCCCUGUUGGGCUUGGGCACAGAGCAGAAUGGGGAAGAGUUGUAGGGAGCGGCCCUCGUGCCCCAAGCUGAUUGGCAAAAAUGAGAAAUACUGAUAAUAUCAAGUAUUAGCGAGGUGAGGAAACAGGACUCUUACGCUCCGUUUGUGAGAAUGGAAGUGUGAAUAGCCUUCUGUGGAGAGCAGUCUGGGUGUAUCUGUUAGGACAAGAGUCCACACGCCCUGUGCGUCACCAGUUGCGCUUCGCAGAACCGACCCUAGAGAAACGCUCACAUGUGGACAGAGGAGGCAAGAACUAGAAUAUCCACUGCAGUUGUUGACUGAAAUCGUG